GGUAUACUGUCAUUUAGCUGCUUUCUGUCUUAAUUUUUUUUUAAUCUCUCUCUAAAAAAAUUAAGACAGAAAGCAGCUAAAUGACAGUAUAUC
rnacentral:miRNA from 1 species